GAUGAACGCUGGCGGCGUGCCUAAUACAUGCAAGUCGAGCGAACAGACGAGGAGCUUGCUCCUCUUACGUUAGCGGCGGACGGGUGAGUAACACGUGGAUAAUCUGCCUUUAAGACUGGGAUAACUUCGGGAAACCGGUGCUAAUACCGGAUAAUAUAUUGAACCACAAGGUUCAAUAGUGAAAGACGCUUUUGCUUUCCCUUAUAGAUGGAUCCGGGUCGAAUAAGCUAGUUGGUAAGGUAACGGCCUACCAAGGCGACGUUGCGUAGCCGACCUGAGAGGGUGAUCGGCCACACGGGAAUUGAGAAACGGUCAAGACUCCUACGGGAGGCGCCAUUAGGGAUUCUCCGACAUUGGGCGAAGUCUUGACGAAGCAACGCCCAGUAAGUGAUGAAGUUUUUCGGAUCUUAAAACUAGGUUAUGAGGAAAGAACAAAUGUGUAAUUAACUGUGCACCUAUUGACGGUACCUAAUCAGAAAGGCACGGCUAACUACGUG
rnacentral:rRNA from 1 species